rnacentral:rRNA from 1 species
UACGUAGGGUGCGAGCGUUAAUCGGAUUUACUGGGCGUAAAGCGUGCGCAGGCGGCCCGUUAAGACAGGUGUGAAAUCCCUGGGCUCAACCUAGGAAUUGCGCUUGUGACUGGCGGGCUCGAGUACGGUAGAGGGGAGUGGAAUUCCUGGUGUAGCAGUGAAAUGCGUAGAGAUCAGGAGGAACACCGAUGGCGAAGGCAGCCCCCUGGGCCUGUACUGACGCUCAUGCGCGAAAGCGUGGGGAGCAAACAGG